AUCCUUAACCCACUGAGAGAGGCCAGGGAUGGAACCUGCGUCCUCACGGGUGCUGGACAGACUGGUUUCCACUGAGCCCUGACGGGAACUCUGCAAAGUAUUUUCUAGGCUGGUUUGGUUCCGGCCGAGCCUCCCCAGCAGACGCAAAGGGCUCAGUAUUGACGGAACAAACACCUGCUGGCGUGAGACCUUCUUCGGCCCCGACCCACACGCGACGCGCACCACGAGCCCAGUCCGUCCUCCAGAUGUGCACCAGGUAGAAGAGGGUCUGCAGGGACACGCAGACCGUCAGUCCGGACCAGAGACCUGCGGGUGCAAAGCGAGGGACCCCGUUUCGCUUUUCUCCAUCCUGCGACCGUCAGCGCAGCGCUGUCCCGGCCCCGCGGUGUCCACACAGCGAACGGCACUUAGAACAGCGCCCCGAGACGCGCGGUCCUUAGGGACCAGGGUCAGCCGCCUGCGUGCCCUGGCCUCUCCGGGGCAGUCGGUCCAUCAGUCACAAUAAAAAGCGCCCCCCAGAC